ensembl:lncRNA
CUGGGAAUGAUUUGUAUCGCAUAAAAUCAUACAAUAUUAUUAUAUAUACUGUAAAUAUCAGUGUUAAUAUUUGUUAGUACAGAGUACUAUCUUUAAUAUUAAAAGUAAUUUUGGUAGAGAAAAAGAAAAGAAAAAAGAAAGUUUGGGUUCUGCGCCGCGCAUCUUUCUCUCUUUGUCUCUCCAACGAGCCUGUAGCGUCCGGACGGGAGUCCGACACGGACGCGCGUUGCUAUUACGUCCAAACACAGACGAAAUAUAUAAUGACUUCACGUGCAGUGUGAGGUUAGAAGUGUACGGUGAGUAUUGUAAGACACUCGGUGGAAGUGAAACAAGAAACACGAGACCAGGAAACACACACGGUGUUGGAACUACGGUGAACAGUGAAACGCUAAUCUGUGAGUAUGACCGAAACCCUGAGACGUGACGAAAUACCGGACAGGAACGAUGGACCAGGACUGAAGAACAAGAGGCAGGAACGGACGGGACGGGCACUCGGGACUGGAACAUGCACACCUAGGAAACAGACUGAGGGAACAAGAGACUACCAAUCUCCAAGGAAGCACAAGAGAACUGCUGAUUAAGAAUCCGCGACUAGUUCUGCUCCGCUGGCUCCUUUUAUACCUCCAUGUCCUACGAGACUGUGAGGUGAUAGAAGUUCCGCAGACGCGCCGAAACCUACGAAACUCCCACGCACGCGCCCUCCCGCUGAUUGGCUACGACGCGUGCCUAAGCCACGCCCACACGGAAGCCACGCCGCUGAUUGGCUGCAGACACCAAGCCUCAUUUGGAGCGAUUCCCAGUAGCGCAGGCAUCAUACAAGCGGUCGUCUGCUCUAUCUCAUGGGGCCCCACAGAAAAAUGCCUUUCACACCCCUCAAUCAGCGCAGGGGUCUCAGGGCAAACUUCAGGGGUGGAAAGGUGCCGAAGGCCACAGGUCCUGGACCCCUGGGCCGCCACAGUGGUACUCGAGUCCUGUGUCGCGAAUCGGGGAGCUCCCAGAUACAGUCCCUUCUGUAGCACUGAAUGGUCGCCUUGGUCACAGAGAGACCCCCACAGACCCAGAGAUACUCCCUACUGUUCACCACCUUGGCCACAGAGAGACCCCGCACCGUUCAUCUGGAUCACAGAGACGCCACCACAGACCUCAAGAUUCCCCAUAUCAGUCACUGAACGCAUAUGCGACCCCCAGGUCCACUUCUCUCUCCGCGGGCACGUGGAGGCGCUCCAGGCCGGAUAUCUGCUCAUAUUACAAGGCGUCCAUGCUGGAGGACCCUUGGGCUGAGCUCCAGCUCCAACAAGCCCGGACCAAGAGCUCGGCCGAGUCCGCUGUCUCAGAGCGAUUAGGACCGCUCCUCCUGCCGGCAGCUUGGGAGGGGAUGUGGAUGUCACAUCGCUGGACGUGGCGACGACUCGAACUGAAGAAAUGCUAGUCCCAAGGUUUAUAGGUUUCAGAAAUAUCUUUGUUACAUAAUAUUGCCUAAUGUUUUACACAAUACCAUACACUGAUGUAAUCUGUCUAAUUGUCAAUAAAUUGUAAAGCCCAGUGGAGGAUAGUGCCUUG